CGUGACGCCGGCUCCUUGGACCUGGCGCCGAACGUGCUUCCCAAUCCAAUGUGAGCAAAGAAAGUGAUGCAUUCUACAAAUUGACCAACACAAGGUCCCAGAUCUAGGCUUAUGUUUUUGAUGUGAUCAAUGCAAGUGUUCCAAAGCUCCUCCUGGAUGAUGCUUUUGAGCAGAAGAAUGACAUUGCAAAGGCUGUGGAGGAUGAGCUUGAGAAGGCUAUGUCAGCAUAUGGCUUUGAGAUCGUGCAGACACUCAUCGUUGACAUUGAUCCAGAUGAGCAUGUCAAGUGAGCAAUGAACGAGAUCAAUGCAGGCCCAGUAUAUUGGCGACAUCUUCCAAGUGAAUAUGCAGAAUUCUACCAUUGAAGACGAAUCCAUGCCACUCUGUGUCGUAAGUAUCAGCUACUUUCUUGCAGAACUUGCGACGAAUUCGAACGUUUCCUAGACUUAACAAUCCUGCAAGAGGGGUUUUUGCAAUUGCCUCCCUCUUCCGCUGUCAAGAUUACAUAAAUUAACUCGUACAAUGCUGUUUGACAGCAGACCUGUGUUUCCUGUAUAUUAUUAAUGGAGUCAUUAGCAGGCUGAGUAUGGUUCGAUAUUGUUAGGUAAUUCUGGAAUCGAAGAUA